CGUGCACUCUUACGUGAACCAAUACGUCCAUUUCUAUGUGAACCAAUUCUCGGUAUAGCUUUUGCCAUAUUUUAUCAUCUCAUAAAUAUGAGUCAGAGAUAAAUGGAUAUAUCCAUUUCAUGUCAAAAUAGAUUCCUUAUUUUUACAUCGAGUCCUUUAGUGAGUCUGAUUAUCCUUGUCUUUGUUUAUGUUUUGGGUUGGAACAAAUUACUAUAAUGCGGAGGUCCUCAUAUUUGGAAACGUGGCAAGCAUGCAAAAGGAAUCAAUAUCCGAAACUGUCACAUUG
rnacentral:lncRNA from 1 species